rnacentral:rRNA from 1 species
UACAGAGGUCCCAAGCGUUGUUCGGAUUCACUGGGCGUAAAGGGUGCGCAGGUGGUCGGGUAAGUCUGACGUGAAAUCCCGCAGCUUAACUGCGGAAUGGCAUUGGAUACUAUUCGGCUAGAGGGUUGGAGGGGGGACUGGAAUUCUCGGUGUAGCAGUGAAAUGCGUAGAUGUCGAGAGGAACACCAGUGGCGAAGGCGAGUCCCUGGACAACUCCUGACGCUGAGGCACGAAAGCUAGGGGAGCAAACAGG